ACUCGACGGCCACUGUCUUUUGAUUUUUUUACUUCAGAUUUAUCUUUCCCGCUUUGUCACUGAUAUGGGUUUGGUAUUAAUUCCCAUGUAAAACCGGUUGCAGCGAAUAUGUAUCACAUUAUGGUUAGUAAGGCGGUAAAAAAAUCUCUAUGAGGUUAUGGCAUUAGGCCUGAUUUUCUUACCGCCUUACUAACUCUAACUCUCAGAGCUUAUAGAAAAUAUUUCAUGCUCUUCGAAUCUACAAGCUUCAGCGAUUCGAGAUUCCAAAAUGCUAUAUUAGAUUGAUUCUCCACACUCUCCAUCUCCAUUUC